GUGAGGAAUAUUGCACAAUGGGCGAAAGCCUGAUGCAGCAACGCCGCGUGAGUGAUGAAGGCCUUUGGGUCGUAAAACUCUGUCCUUGGGGAAGAAAAAAAUGACGGUACCCUUGGAGGAAGCCCCGGCUAACUACGUGCCAGCAGCCGCGGUAAUACGUAGGGGGCAAGCGUUAUCCGGAAUUAUUGGGCGUAAAGAGUGCGUAGGUGGUUUUGUAAGCGUAGGGUGAAAGGAAGUAGCUCAAAUAUUGUUAGCCCUGCGAACGGUGAGACUUGAGUGCAGGAGAGGAAAGUGGAAUUCCUAGUGUAGCGGUGAAAUGCGUAGAUAUUAGGAGGAACACCAGUGGCGAAGGCGACUUUCUGGACUGUAACUGACACUGAGGCACGAAAGCGUGGGUAGCAAACAGGAUUAGAAACCCUUGUAGUCC
rnacentral:rRNA from 1 species